rnacentral:rRNA from 1 species
UACAGAGGUCUCAAGCGUUGUUCGGAAUUACUGGGCGUAAAGGGUGCGCAGGCCGCGCGGGCAGUCAAAUGUGAAAUUCCGGGGCUCAACCCCGAAAUUGCGCUUGAUACUUCCGCGCUAGAACUUUGGAGAGGGAUCUGGAAUUCUCGGUGUAGCAGUGAAAUGCGUGGAUAUCGAGAAGAACACUCAGGGCGUAAGCAAGAUCCUGGACAAAUGUUGACGCUCAAGCACGAAGGCUAGGGUAGCGAACGGG